rnacentral:lncRNA from 10 species
AGCCACUUCAAUUAUCUCCAAACAUACAAACAAACCCAUAUUUGCAGAAUCUCUGUGGUAACUUAGCUUAAAGUCAGGAACAUAAACAGAAAAACUAGUAAGCCAUAAAGAUCUGAGAAAGUGAGUUUAUUGCAACCAGCCUUAAAAGGAUGAGUAAUUUACUUUAUUUCUUGGUUUCAGUUCAAGCAAUUGUAAGGAUAAUUUAUGAUUGAUUUUACAUUUUGGAAAGUAAUUGUAAUCAUUUCUCUAAGCCUCUCUCCUGCAAUAUAAUGUAUUAAUUAGCUUGCUAUGUUUGAGUAGCUUUACCAAUAAUGCAAAUUUCUGAUUUGUGGCAGAAUUCAUGUAAUGAUGGCAAAACUCAGGCUUGGCUUCCAGAAGAUGCAGUGAAACUCCCUUAUCUACAUUUUGGAAACCAUAAGAAAGACAAAGUAAUUACUCCAUAGUAGCUGAAAUACCAGCUAAUACCUGGAUCCAGCUAAUACCUGGAUAAUACAUAUUGCACAUUUUCAAAUAUGUGGUUGUAUCAUUUAUAUGAAUUCUUUUUUAAAUCCUGACCAGGAUAUUUAUAUUUAGGUGCCAAUCAGUUUCUUUUUUGUUUUUACUUAUUAAUCCUAACAUCAGAAACAACCAGGCUUUUCAAUGUCCCAUUAGACCUAUUUUAUAAUAUCAGUGUUAUUUAGAAGCAUUUGAGACUAUUUCAAAGCUAUUACAAGAACUCAGUUUUUGUUUGAUUUAUCAUAAUAUGACAAUUUUCAUCUACAGUUCCUGGGGUUAAACUCCCAUAGCCUUUGUUACAAUAAAGAGAAUCUUUCCCUCUAACCUCCUCCUGCCCUCCUUUCUUUCACCUUUCCAAGACAGGACUCUAAUCUGAUUGUGGGUCAUAAGACCCUCAUUCUAGAGAAGAUCCUGCCCCAUACCCUGGAGGAAGGAAUGCUGCACAGAAAGGAGUGAAGAAUCUGAACAGUUUGGCCUUUGCUGAGUUUAAAUCAUACCCUUUUUGUCCAGUCACAUUGUGACAUGGUUGUCCGUGAUGCAAUCAUGCCUAUCCAAUGAAGUCUCCAUAUAAGGCCUGAGAGGACGGGAUUCAGGGGCUUCCAGAGAGCUAAACAUGGGGAGACCUACAGGGAGAUGAACAAGAACUCAUCCAUAUGUAAGAAGGGUGGUGCACUCUACCUCCAUGGAGGCAGAAACUGCUACACUCAAGACCCUUCCAGACCUCACCCUAAGUAUCUCUGGCUCUUUAUUUGUAGUCUAUAAAAUAUCCUUUACAAUAAACAAAUAAACACAAAUAAAUGUUUCCCUGAGUUCUGUGAGGUACUCCAGGAAAUUAAUUGAAUCCAAAGAGGGGUUGUGAGAACCCCAGUUGGUCAGAUGUUCUGGAGGCCCAGACUUAAAAUUGGUGUCUGAAGAGUGGAGGUGGUCAUGAAGACUGUGCCUUCAACCUGUGGGAUCUGAUGCUAUCUCCAGGUGGAUAGUGUCAGAUGUUGAAUUGGAGGAUUCCCAGAUGAUGUCCACUGCAGAAUUGAUUGCUUAUUGGUGGAGAAAAACCCCUAUAUAUUUGGUCACAGAAAUCUUCUGUGAUGAUUUUUGCUGUGGAAAUUGAUUGGAAGGCAAUUCCUGAAAAUCUCUAUUUGAUCAAAUUUC